rnacentral:rRNA from 1 species
GGAAGGGCGCAGUUCGGCAGGGCCUCGCACAGGUGCUGCAUGGCUGUCGUCAGCUCGUGUCGUGAGAUGUUGGGUUAAGUCCCGCAACGAGCGCAACCCUCAUCCUUAGUUACCAGCGGGUAAUGCCGGGCUCUUUAAGGAAACUGCCAGUGAUAAACUGGAGGAAGGUGGGGAUGAUGUCAACUCAGCACGGCCCUUAUGGGGUGGGCUACACUCGUGCUACAAUGGCGACUACAAUAGGUUGCAACGUCGCAAGGCUGAGCUAAUCCGUAAAAGUCGUCUCUGUUCGCAUUGUCCUCUGUAACUCGAGGGCAUGAAGUCGGAAUCGCUAGUAAUCGUGGAUCA